rnacentral:rRNA from 1 species
UUUUUAAAUCCAUAUCCACCUUGUGUGCAAUGUCGGUCGAUCUUCUUCAUGGAGAUCGACCAAACAUCAACCUUUAUUUUUUAACUCUUUGUCUGAAAAAUAUUAUGAAUAAACAAUUCAAAAUACAACUUUCAACAACGGAUCUCUUGGCUCUCGCAUCGAUGAAGAACGCAGCGAAAUGCGAUACGUAAUGUGAAUUGCAGAAUUCAGUGAAUCAUCGAAUCUUUGAACGCAUAUUGCGCUCUUUGGUAUUCCGAAGAGCAUGCUUGUUUGAGUAUCAGUAAACACCUCAAAGCUUUUGGAUUUUUUAAUCGAAAAGCUUUGGACUUGAGCAAUCCCAACACCAAUCUUUUUGAGAUCGGUGGCGGGUUGCUUGAAAUGCAGGUGCAGCUGGACAUUCUCCUGAGCUAAAAGCAUAUUCAUUUAGUCCCGUCAAACGGAUUAUUACUUUUGCUGCAGCUAACAUAAAGGGAGUUUGACCGUAUUGGCUGACUGAUGCAGGAUUUCACAAGGGUCGGCAACGAUUCUUGUUAAACUCGAUCUCAAAUCAAGUAAGACUACCCGCUGAACUUAAGCAUAUC